rnacentral:ncRNA from 1 species
ACCAAGGAGUUUAACAUGUGCGCGAGUCAUUGGGUGUUACGAAACCCAAAGGCGAAGUGAAGGUAAAGGUUCGGCUUGUCCGGACUAAGGUGAGAUCCUGUUGUCUUGCUCAUACUUUCCAAGUUGCGAGCAGCGGGCGCAUCACCGGCCCGUCCCAUGACGUAGACAUGUGACCUCGUGUUGUGUGCACCGUCGGGGUGGAGCAAGAGCGUACACGUUGAGACCCGAAAGAUGGUGAACUAUGAUUGUGGAGGUUGAAGACAGAGGAAACUCUGGUGGAGGACCGUAGCGAUUCUGAUGUGCAAAUCGAUCGUAUAACGUGAGUAUAGGGGCGAAAGACUAAUCGAACUAUCUAGUAGCUGGUUCCCUCCGAAGUUUCCCUCAGGAUAUCUGGCAUUCUGAGAAAUAAACAGUUUUAUCCGGUAAAGCGAAUGAUUAGAGGCAUUGGGGAGAAAUCAUCCUCAACCUAUUCUCAAACUUUAAAUGGGUGAGAAGCUUAACUCGCUUGAUUGGAGUUUUGCAUUGAAUGUGAGUGCCAAGUGGGCCAUUUUUGGUAAGCAGAACUGGCGCUGUGGGAUGAAUCAAACGUUCGGUUAAGGUGCCUAACACGACGCUCAUGAGAUACCACAAAAGGUGUUGGUUGGUCUAGACAGCAGGACAGUGGCCAUGGAAGUCGGAAGCCGCUAAGGAGUGUGUAACAACUCACCUGCCGAAUCAACCAGCCCUGAAAAUGGAUGGCGCUCGAGCGUUGGACCUAUACCGGACCGUUGCUGUAAGCUAGGCCUAUGCUGUGUGAGGGCAAGCUGCACUUGGUCUAGGCAUGGAGUGACGGCAACGAGUAGGAGGGUCGCUGUGGCUAGCGGGAAGCCUCAGGCGUGAGCCUAGGUGAAGCAACCACAGACGCAGAUCUUGGUGGUAGUAGCAAAUAUUCAAGUGAGAACCUUGAAGGCCGAGGUGGAGAAGGGUUCCAUGGGAACAGCAGUUGACCAUGGGUCAGGCGGUCCUAAGUGAUCCGGUAAAUCGGAACAGAGGCAGGGUGUCUGACAUGAUUGGUGUAAUGUAGGGAGCUGAGUGCUCUGCUUUCCAGCGCAAAUAAAAUACUACUGCUGUCAUUGUUUCUUUACUUAUUCAGUGAAACGGGAACAAAAUGGUAUCUUGGUUCAAAGGACAAAAGAGGGC